rnacentral:rRNA from 1 species
UACGUAGGUCCCGAGCGUUGUCCGGAUUUAUUGGGCGUAAAGCGAGCGCAGGUGGUUUAUUAAGUCUGGUGUAAAAGGCAGUGGCUCAACCAUUGUAUGCAUUGGAAACUGGUAGACUUGAGUGCAGGAGAGGAGAGUGGAAUUCCAUGUGUAGCGGUGAAAUGCGUAGAUAUAUGGAGGAAUACCGGUGGCGAAAGCGGCUCUCUGGCCUGUAACUGACACUGAGGUUCGAAAGCGUGGGGAGCAAACAGG